UCAAGACCUUGCUUUGGAAGGACUAAAGAGCACUUGAACGAGUUCUGGUCAUCAGGUGCUUCUUCACCAUCAGGUUCAUUUGUUGCUGCUGCUCAUCCUCCUACUCCAUCUACAUGGACAAGAGCAAGUUAGUUGUUUGCAUGGCAUUCACUUAAUAAAACUGCAUGUAUAUUCAUCUACAUUACUUCUUCAGUAUAGUACAGUACAAAGGAUGGAUGGGUUUGAGUUCAAAUGUUUGCUUGCACAUGUACUACUCAUAUACUUAGAUGUGUGAGAGAGAAAAAGGAGGAAGAAAGAGAGCACGGGAAGAAGGGAACAUUAGUAAAUAGGGAUAUCCCCUUCCUCUCCUUGAUAAGCCUAAAUCACAAGUGUUAUGCUGCUAAUCUUAUGUAGCUUCGUUUCUGAAUUUAUAUUGUUUGUGUGAUUGUUUGAGACUGCAAAAAGCUUAAGCUUAUAUCUACUGGUGAGUUUGAAGAUGUAACUAGUUUUCCAUUUCAUGCAGGUGUGUCUUACAAUUUCGAAAAGACUGAUAAUGGUAUUUUCCGGUUAAAGCUCACUGCAAAUGC